rnacentral:misc_RNA from 1 species
AGAUUCCCAAAUUGUGUCUGACUAUGUUCGUUACUUUCUUCAUCAGCACACAAUACAGUUAGGUCAGCCCGCAACUGUCAAAGUUGCUGCUAAUCUGGUCAGGCUGCUAUCUUAUAACAAUAAGAACAUGCUAGAAACUGGCCUAAUUGUUGGUGGAUGGGACAAAUAUGAAGGUGGUAAAAUUUAUGGAGUUCCUCUCGGUGGAACAAUAAUAGAGCAGCCUUUUGCUAUUGGAGGAUCUGGCUCCAGUUACUUGUAUGGAUUCUUUGAUCAAGCAUGGAAAGAAGGAAUGACCAAGGAUGAAGCUGAGCAAUUAGUAGUAAAGGCAGUUUCCCUGGCCAUGGCAAGAGAUGGUGCUAGUGGUGGUGUUGUUCGCACGGUCAUUAUAAAUUCGGAGGGAG